rnacentral:rRNA from 1 species
AGAGUUUGAUCAUGGCUCAGAAUGAACGCUAGCGAUAUGCUUAACACAUGCAAGUUGAACGUUGUUUUCGAAGAAAAAUGAAAACAAAGUGGCGAACGGGUGCGUAACACGUAGGAAUCUGCCAAACAGUUUGGGCCAAAUCCUGAAUGAAUAAAAGCUAAAAAGCGCUGUUUGAUGAGCCCACGUAGUAUUAGGUAGUUGGUUAGGUAAAAGCUGACCAAGCCUACGAUGCUUAGCUGGUCUUUUCGGAUGAUCAGCCACACUGGGACUGAGACACGGCCCAGACUCCUACGGGAGGCAGCAGCAAGGAAUCUUCCGCAAUGGGCGAAAGCCUGACGGAGCAACGCCGCGUGCGGGAUGACGCCCUUCGGGGUGUAAACCGCUUUUCUCUGGGAAGAAAGUUGUGAAAGCAACCUGACGGUACCAGAGGAAUCAGCAUCGGCUAACUCCGUGCCAGCAGCCGCGGUAAUACGGAGGAUGCAAGCGUUAUCCGGAAUAAUUGGGCGUAAAGCGUCCGUAGGUGGUCAUUCAAGUCUGCCGUUAAAGAGUGGGGCUUAACCCCACAAAGGCGGUGGAAACUGAAAGACUAGAGUGCAGUAGGGGUAGAGGGAAUUCCCGGUGUAGCGGUGAAAUGCGUAGAGAUCGGGAAGAACACCGGUGGCGAAAGCGCUCUGCUGGACUGCAACUGACACUGAGGGACGAAAGCUAGGGGAGCGAAUGGGAUUAGAUACCCCAGUAGUCC